UCCGAAUUGGUGUAGUGGCUAACAUUUGACGCUCUCAACUAUCAUCUCGUCUCUUCGGAGGUUGAGAUAUAGGCAAGUGCCGUCAAGCCCGGGGUUCGAUUCCCCGAUUCGGAG